GAGUAACACGUAUGACAACCUACCUUUAACAGGGGAAUAACCCGUUGAAAAACGGACUAAUACUCCAUAACACAGGGGUCCCGCAUGGGAAUAUUUGUUAAAGAUUAAUCGGUUGAAGAUGGGCAUGCGUUCCAUUAGCUUGUUGGUGAGGUAACGGCUCACCAAGGCCACGAUGGAUAGGGGGAACUGAGAGGUUUAUCCCCCACACUGGAACUGAGACACGGUCCAGACUCCUACGGGAGGCAGCAGUGAGGAAUAUUGGUCAAUGGAGGCAACUCUGAACCAGCCAAGUCGCGUGAAAGGAUGAAGGUCUUAUGGAUUGUAAACUUCUUUUGCAAGGGAAUAAAGUGGGGGACGUGUCCUCCUUUCGCUAUGUACCUUGCGAAUAAGGAUCGGCUAACUCCGUGCCAGCCGCAGC
rnacentral:rRNA from 1 species